rnacentral:tRNA from 1 species
GGGAAGGUGGCUCAGUGGUAGAGCGCUUGCCUUGCAUGCUCAAGGCCCUGGGUUCGAUUCCUCAGC